rnacentral:tRNA from 1 species
GGAGAAUAGGCAAAUAUUGGCUUGUUGCGCUCGACUGCUAAUCGAGUCUGCGUUACAGCAGUGAAGGUUCGAUCCCUUUGUUCUCCG